UACGUAGGUGGCAAGCGUUGUCCGGAUUUACUGGGCGUAAAGGGCGUGCAGGCGGUUUGUUAAGUUCCGGGUGAAAGCUCCCGGCUCAACUGGGAGAGGUCCUUGGAUACUGGCAGACUUGAGGAGGGUAGAGGAGAGUGGAAUUCCCGGUGUAGUGGUGAUAUGCGUAGAUAUCGGGAGGAACACCAGUGGCGAAGGCGGCUCUCUGGGCCCUACCUGACGCUGAGACGCGAAAGCGUGGGGAGCGAACCGG
rnacentral:rRNA from 1 species